GUACCUAAAGUCGGUAACCGUAAGGAGCCGCUAGGGUAAACUAGUGACUGGGGCU
rnacentral:rRNA from 1 species